rnacentral:rRNA from 1 species
AAUCAACGCUGGCGGCGUGCCUCAGACAUGCAAGUCGAACGAUUAAAGCUCUCUUCGGAGAGUGUAUAGAGUGGCGCACGGGUGAGUAACACGUAAGUAAUCUACCUUCGAGUGGGGAAUACCGUCCGGAAACGGACGCUAAUACCGCAUAAUGCAGCGGCAUCGUAAGAUGACAGUUGUUAAAGAUUUUAUCGCUUGAAGAGGAGCUUGCGGCAGAUUAGCUAGUUGGUAAGGUAAUGGCUUACCAAGGCUACGAUCUGUAACCGGUCUUAGAGGACGGUCGGUCACACUGACACUGAAUAACGGGUCAGACUCCUACGGAGGCAGCAGUCGGGUAAUUUUGGGCAAUGGGCGAAAGCCUGACCCAGCAACGCCCGCGUGGAAGGAUGAAGUAUUUCGGUAUGUAAACUUCGAAAAGAAUAGGAAGAAUAAAUGACGGUACUAUUUAUAGGUCCGG